ACAGUCGCCAGUGCAGUGCGUUGGGGUUUCGAACAGCGCCAAAAGGUGGGAAAUUGAAAAUGUUUAUUGCGGCUUUAGGCCAAUAGAACCAAGUCAUCUGCCAUUUAUCGUGCUCAAUACAGUACUUUUACUUCAAUCUCGGCUCGUUAGGGCGCAACAAAGCAAGCGCAUUUCAUCGCUCAUCAUCAUCAUCACCACCACCUACUCCCGCCUCCCUUCAACAAAUCGCUUUUCUUGGAGCAUAAUGCACACACACACUGGCACAGUCACACCGACACGUAUGUGCCGGUCAUCAUCAUCAUCAUUAGGUUGUGCGAUGGAGCAACAACAACAACAACAAAAGCAAACGUCAUUAGCGGGCUAAAUAAC
ensembl:ncRNA lncRNA:CR46085 long non-coding RNA:CR46085